CAGGUCUUUCUCCAGCCUACCAGAUAACAGUGAGGAAGCCAGAGCCAGGUACCUCUACAGGCAGUGGGUGGGACUCGGCUUGACUGACGUCCAUCUAUCCAAUCACACAGUCCUCCUCAGCCUGCCUGGUUCCACACCCAACACAAUCACUGACAGGUCUAGUCACCAGUGUUUCCUGCCAAACGGGACCCCCUGUGACCAGCGUGGCCCAAACGACCUGCCGAGGCAGCAGUUCUCUUACGCAGCCUACUCCGCUGUUGGAAGUCUACAGGGAGAGGUGGUGGAUGUUCAGUACGGGAGUGUGGAUGACCUGCGGAGAGCCAAAGACAGCCUGAACCUCACCAACCGGAUUGCCGUGGUCAAGCUCGGCCAAGCACCCUUGCUGUACAAGCUGUCCCUCCUCUCUGAGCUGGGUUUUGGGGGUGCCCUGCUUUACGUUGACCCCUGCGACGCCCCCCUCGGCAGCCACACCUCGAAUCAAGCGUUCAGAGUCACCCUCAACCCCGGAGGAAAU